AUGCCUCACUGUGUUUUGGGGAGAGGUAGUGUUUAUUUCCAAAUACAGGACCUAAGGGGAUCAGAUCUUCUUGCUCCCUGCCUGUGGUCAGGCCAUGGUCAGUCAUGUGACUUAGAUCUGACUGCUCUCUCAGGGGAACGACAGAAGAAAGUUGGUAGAUUCUCGUUUGGAAGCAUCCCUGGCCAGCAUCAUCGGAGGGGGUGCUGGCCUCGAGUGGUUCCUGCUGUAGCCACUUUGCCAUAGUCCUUGCUCUCGGGUCUUCUUGGGCUCUCUCUGUUCCCACUUUCCACACCUGAUUCUUCAGCCUCUUGCUGAUGCUAUGGACCCUAAUAGUCUUUCGAUCAAAUCUUUGUGCUUGAGAGAACCAGGGCUGAUUUCUGUUGCUUGCACAUAUCAAUCCUGACAGUGUGAAACUCCCACAUAGGAGAAGGAAGUAGUCAGCCUGGGUCACACACCCACAUGCACUCUUCCCUCCACUCUUCUCUCCUCUAAGCCCCUGCAGUCUCCUGUGUUUACGUGUAUCCUCGGGCCAAGGGUUGAAUUAGACCAAAGGAUGGUUUGUAAGUAUUCGGGCUUACCAAAAGAAAUCAUCUGCUGAGGAAACUGGGCUCAAGCCCAGACAGGGGAUUUUGGCGUGCACAAAACUGGCAGAUUUAGAAACACAGAGACAGAGAAGAAUGCUGAGCUGGCCGUGUGUGGAAGUGAAGGACGAGGAAUUGAAAAGUUGAGAGCUAUAGAUCUUUCUUAUAAAUCCAUGCCAUGAGCAUCAUCAGGACAGCAGGGCUGAGCCCCAGAGAAAAUUCAACUGGUGCUAUUUUAUAAAUUUCCCUAAGGUACACAUUUCGUUAUAAAUGGUUUCUUAAAGUGAUGCUUCAGAUGUGGAAUUUAGCUUGAAUGUGUAUUGAGUGCCUGACUUUUUGUCUACAUUGGUUUAUGUGAUUCACCCUCUAAGCCUGCAAAGUAGGUAAAAUAUCCCUGUUUUAGUCACAAGGAAACUGCAUAGUUAGGAUCACACAGCUCAUAAGCAGCAAAGCUGGGAUUUGAAUCUGGGCUUUUUUUUUUUUUUUUUUUCAAUUUUAUGGCUGCCCCGGUGGCAUAUGGAAGUUCCUGGGCAGGGAAGGAAUCCAAGCCAUAGCUGCGACCUAAGCUGCAGCUGCAGCAACACAGGAUCCUUUAACCCUCUGUGCUGGGCUGAGAAUGGAACCUGAGCCUCUGUGGUGACCUGAGCCACUGUGGUUGGAUC
rnacentral:lncRNA from 1 species